rnacentral:tRNA from 1 species
GCCUGGGUGGCUCAGUGGUUGAGCGUCUGCCUUUGGCUCAGGUCGUGAUCCUGGGGUCCUGGGAUCGAGUCCCACAUCAGGCU